rnacentral:lncRNA from 1 species
CCUCAAUGAAUUUAUUACUGGGCAAAACCCUCAACUACAUGUGUAUUGCAAUAAAUAGAUUUAACUGUUUGCAGAGGGGAGAGAGUGCAUUUUCACAGCUCUCUCUCUCUCAUCAUCAGCAGCGCCCUGAUUGUCAGUUCUCAUGUCUGCGGUCUCCAGUGCGUUGCCUGUCAUAUACUCAUAUUGCCCUGACUGAUAUCUUAAGAUUUAUAUGGCCCAAUGC